UACGUAGGGGGCAAGCGUUGUCCGGAAUCAUUGGGCGUAAAGAGCGUGUAGGCGGCUUGGUAAGUCCGCUGUGAAAGUCCAGGGCUCAACCCUGGAAUGCCGGUGGAAACUGUCAAGCUUGAGUCCGGAAGAGGCGAGUGGAAUUCCUGGUGUAGCGGUGAAAUGCGCAGAUAUCAGGAGGAACACCAAUGGCGAAGGCAGCUUGCUGGGCCACUCCUGACACUGAGGUACGAAAGCGUGGGGAGCGAACAGG
rnacentral:rRNA from 1 species